CUGGCUGCGUGCUUACCAUGCAAGUCGAACGAUGAAGCCAGCUUGCUGGUGGAUUAGUGGCGAACGGGUGAGUAACACGUGGGUGAUCUGCCCCAAACUUUGGGAUAAGCCUGGGAAACUGGGUCUAAUACCGAAUAUGACCGAUACUCGCAUGGGUGUUGGUGGAAAGCUCCGGCGGUUUGGGAUGGGCCCGCGGCCUAUCAGCUUGUUGGUGGGGUAAUGGCCUACCAAGGCGACGACGGGUAGCCGGCCUGAGAGGGCGACCGGCCACACUGGGACUGAGACACGGCCCAGACUCCUACGGGAGGCAGCAGUGGGGAAUAUUGCACAAUGGGCGCAAGCCUGAUGCAGCGACGCCGCGUGAGGGAUGACGGCCUUCGGGUUGUAAACCUCUUUCACCAGGGACGAAGCGAAAGUGACGGUACCUGGAGAAGAAGCACCGGCCAACUACGUGCCAGCAGCCGCGGUAAUACGUAGGGUGCGAGCGUUGUCCGGAAUUACUGGGCGUAAAGAGCUCGUAGGCGGUUUGUCGCGUCGUUCGUGAAAACUUGGGGCUUAACUCCAAGCGUGCGGGCGAUACGGGCAGACUUGAGUACUACAGGGGAGACUGGAAUUCCUGGUGUAGCGGUGAAAUGCGCAGAUAUCAGGAGGAACACCGGUGGCGAAGGCGGGUCUCUGGGUAGUAACUGACGCUGAGGAGCGAAAGCGUGGGUAGCGAACAGGAUUAGAUACCCUGGUAGUCCACGCCGUAAACGGUGGGUACUAGGUGUGGGUUCCUUUUCACGGGAUCCGUGCCGUAGCUAACGCAUUAAGUACCCCGCCUGGGGAGUACGGCCGCAAGGCUAAAACUCAAAGGAAUUGACGGGGCCCGCACAAGCGGCGGAGCAUGUGGAUUAAUUCGAUGCAACGCGAAGAACCUUACCUGGGUUUGACAUACACCAGAAAGCCAUAGAGAUAUGGCCCCCUUGUGGUUGGUGUACAGUGGUGCAUGGCUGUCGUCAGCU
rnacentral:rRNA from 1 species